UCGUUUUUGAACUAUAUAUUUUGACGACACAUUUUUGACUUAUGUUUUCGUUAUGGAAAAGUACCACAACACAACUGUAAGACUGCAGUUGUGGGAUCCACUUUGCACACCGUCAAUACUCCCUAUCGAUGCUCCACACAUUCUACAAAUACUGACAAUUUGUAGUGAGUCUCCUUAGAGGAAAAAGCAGCAGCAAAAUAAUACGGGGAAAGCCGAGUUGCGUUGAAGACUGGUCUUCAUGCUCUAGACUCCAGCCAGAUAGAUUCCACAACGUACGCACACAGUCUAAACAGAGAGAGAAUGAUAAGGUUUGCCACCUACGUUUCGAGUGAGUUUUCAGCUGGAUAAAGCUUGGAAGCAGCAUGGCAGGAACUCAUUUCUAAUCCAGACGCCGUCCAAGCAACAAGUUAGUUUUUGAAUUUGUGCGCCAGUAAAGGCUAGUUUACGCGGGAGUAUUCAAACGUUCUUACUGCGAUUUCCAAAUAGUUUUCGAACGCGACACAAUCAGUGAACUGUGAAGAAGUUGAAGUGUUUAUGAACUUAAUAGAUUCUAAUAUACGUUGAUUUUUGAGAACUUUAUUUGUUGAACAUUAAAAUAUCUUCGAAAAUGAUUUCCUCUUCAAUUUUGAUCGUUUUUGUGACAAUAGUUGUGGUGUGUUCAACAACCAGUAAUGCUCACCCUUCCCGUCACCGACGCAGCCAUCGAAGAAUAAUAAACUUUAAUGAAAACGUUUUAUCUUUCAAAAACUUCGAACACGACAAACCAAUCUCGAGGCCCAUCUCUGUGUUAGAUAUUCCCGAACUCAUGGAUACGGGACGCAACUUUAAGCCUGACUUUGUUGUUCUGGAUCGUUGUGACUACCAGUCGGGCUACUGCAAGGAUCACGGCUAUUGUUUGAAGGAGAUCGAUUACGAGAAGGUGUUAGUUGAGUUCAAAAAUCAGAAAACUGACGAAAUGAAAACGGUGCGGUUGAUUAAUCAUUUGGAAUGUGCUUGUGUGCCCUGCCGAUGAGUCUAACUUCAGCCUGAAGUUGGAAGGAUAUCCUUAUUCUAGUCGCAGAUGGACUGCCAAAAAGUACUGUGAUACCGCCGGUCUUCCUACCCAGCAUUGAACUCAGAGACUCCAUCAAUAUUGAUGAAAAUACCAGCUUUGAUGUUCAUUAUCCGGGAAUUCACCAGCGUUGAUGUUCAUAAUCCUCAUCAAUAUCGAGAAGAGCUCAUCAAUAUAUUGAUGUCUAACCACCAACAUUGAUGGCCAUCGACUCCAGGGGUUCAUCAAUCUCAAUAAUCUACAUAUCGAUAAUUAACAUCUUCAUGGACUCAAACAUUCAACAUGAAUGCAAGGAUGCAGAAAUGGUCGGAUUUAGAGACACUGGUUUAUUGACAUAAAGUGAAACAAAAUAUCGAGCAACUCGCAUAUCGACGCAUCGAUGUGACGGUAAAGUGUUAGUGCCUCGAGUUACCAUCAUCUCCAAAGAACUUAUUUAUCAACUUAUUUAUAAAUCACAACCUUUAUUCACUUUAGAUGCUCAACUUUCACAUUUCCCACCGACUUGAUAGGAAAUUUAUAUAGAUUAUUUGAAAAAAAAUAUGAGAAUUCACAUUAGAUACCACAUAUCAAUGUUAUAAAAAAUGUAUGAGUUCAAAGUUUCAAGUAAAAAAAAAGUAUUAAUCAAUUCAAUCAGUGGGAGAAUGUUUUCAACAUAAUAGAAGCUUAAUCAUAGUAUGAUGAAUCUGAAGGUUUAGCAAAAGGUGAUGGAUUAUUAAGGAUGCUAGUUAAUUAGCUAUAGGAGUAGAAUCGUUAUAAAUAUGCUGAUAGUAUUUAAAACGAAUUCACAUUUAAGUACGGUAGUUGUUUUUGAGCAUAUAUUAUUUAGUUUUUGGUUAUCCAUCUUGUUUUCACCAAUAUUAUUACUAUUGUAUUUUGAUAACUUUAAAGUGAAAAAACACUCACAUUCUAUUGGUGUGGCGGCGACCGUUGCACAUACGGUAUAUAUUAUUUAUCAUCUUAUAUGAUGCAUCUAUAUACUGUCUCAUUUUACUGAUUAAUCAAAUUUGAAUCAAUUUAUUCUCCAUCAAUCAAACAUACAUACAACAGUCAACUGUUGUCAUAAAGUUGUUAAUAAUAUAUUUUUAUUUAUUUAUACUUAAUAUAAAUAUUUAUUUGUAAUUUGUAUUUAUAUGAAACACUUGAGACGAUUCUAUAUUAACUUACUUUUGUUAUCAGAGGCAUUUUAUUGAAACACAAAAAAUAUUAUCUUGAAUUGGAAUUUGAAUUUGUGAUAAUAGUUUAGAUAUUUAGAUUAUCCUUUCUAUUUUGUUUGUAAAGUAUUUUUACUAUAAUUUAUCUUAUUUAUUUUUUGUUCAGUCUAUUCCAUCCAUUAUCUUUGUAUUUAUUUGCUUCAUUGUCAAGUAUUGAAGCUUACUCCAUAUUAGAUCUAUUUAUUUAGUUUUAUUUUGUUUAUUAUAUAUAUUUCCAUUAUCAUAAUUGCCCCAAUAUUUAUCUGUUCAAUUCGUCUAUUCAGAUCUAUGUAUUGAUUAAGGAUUCAUUGAGUUUAUUAAUACAGAUAAAUUCUUCAUUUAUUUUCAAUUGCAUCCUAUUGAUAUUUUUAAUAGUUCGAUGUCUUUAUAAUAUUUUUUACAUUCUCUCCAUGACUAAAUUCACUUUUUAUUCAUGAAUUUCCUUCAAAAAAUUGCUCACUAGUUAAGGCUGCAAAAAUUAUUAUAUGAUUCUUUAUUUAUUCAUGUAUUAUUAUCUGUUAUAUUCAUUCAUUUGUACAAAGCUAUUUAUUGAUUGUAGAUGCUCUAUUGGUAUCAUGAAAAUUCAUAUUUGAUAAAAAUAUUAAAUCCAUUUUUUGGUGAUUCAGACAAAUAUUUAUUAUUAUAUCUCUUAUCUUGUAACAAAAAUCGAAAGAUUGUUAUUUAUUGCUUGUAGAUGCUCUAUUGGUAUCAAGAGAAUUCAAAUUUUAUCAUAAAAUUACUAAUGUAAAUACAAUAUCCAUCAACAUUGUUGUAGACUUAUGAAAUAAUAAUAAUUUAUUUAUUGAAUGAUGAACUUAUCACACUUUAGUACAAAUUUUUCAUGUAUUGUAGAUGCUACACUGUGAUAUUUUAAAGAUAUUUAUUAAAAAAACACUGAA